rnacentral:sRNA from 1 species
CGCCCUGGUCCUGCGUAGAGGCCCGGAAGCCACGAUUCUGGGACCUGGAGGAGAGAUCCAGGCCCCUUCGACUCCACCGGGGCCCUGAGGCGGCUGGGGUGGGGCUGUCUGGGCCCCAGUAGGGGAGACCUGGGGUCACCAGCUCCCCCAACCCUUCCUCGCACUCGCUGGUACUAUGCCCUGCCACCACAGGCCCCUGUGUCCGUCUGGGAUGAGGAGGAGGAUGGUGCCGUGUUUACUGUCACAAGCCGCCAAUAUCGACCUCUUGAUCCCUUGGUCCCUAUGCCUCCCCCACGUUCCUCCCGACGUCUCCGAGCUGGCACUCUGGAGGCCCUGGUCAGACACCUACUGGAUACCCGGACAUCAGGGACUGAUGUGACCUUCAUGUCAGCCUUCCUGGCCACCCACCGGGCCUUCACCUCCACGCCUGCCUUGCUAGGGCUUAUGGCUGACAGGCUGGAAGCCCUUGAAUCUCAUCCUACCGACGAACUAGAGAGGACAACAGAGGUAGCCAUCUCUGUACUGUCAACCUGGCUGGCCUCUCACCCUGAGGAUUUUGGCUCUGAGGCCAAGGGUCAGCUUGACCGGCUUGAGAGCUUCUUACUUCAGACAGGGUAUGCAGCAGGGAAGGGUGUUGGGGGGGGCAGCGCUGACCUCAUCCGCAACCUCCGGUCCCGGGUGGACCCCCAGGCCCCCGACCUUCCUAAGCCCCUGGCCCUCCCCGGCGAUCCCCCUGCUGACCCCACGGAUGUCCUGGUGUUCCUCGCUGACCACUUGGCCGAACAGCUGACCCUGCUAGAUGCGGUGAGACCCUGACCUCUGGCCCCUAUGCCCCCGACCCCUUACUAACCUCUCCUUGACUCCAGAUCCUUUCCUUGCUUCCACCCCUUCCUGAUCCAGCUCCUAGCCUCCUCCACCUACCAUUUUGAUUUUCCUUUUCCCUUUGGUCGUUACCCUUCAAACCCUGUGCCCCUCUGGUUCCUUGGCCACCUGAGAUCCUCAGAUCCCUGAUAUUGGAAAGCU